rnacentral:rRNA from 1 species
AUUGAACGCUGGCGGCAUGCUUUACACAUCCAAGUCGAACGGUAACAGGCCGCAAGGUGCUCCCAAGUGGCGAACAGGCGAGUAAUGCAGCGGAACGUGCCCGGACGUGCGGGAUAACUAGUCGCAAGUGUAGCUAAUACCGCAGACGAUCAGUGGGUGACAGCGGGAGACCGUACGGCCUCGUGAGAUGGUAGCCGCCGAUGUAAGAUCAGGUCGUGGGGGUGGUAAGUGGUCACCAAGCCAACGAUCUUUAGCACAUCAGAGAGGAAAACCAGCCACACUGGGAGUGAAACACGGCCCACACUCCGACGGGAAGCAGCAGUAGGGAAUUUUGGACGAUGGGCGCAAGCCUGAUCCAGCAAUGCCGCGUGGAGGGAGAAGGCCAUCGGGUUGUAAACUGCUUUUGUACGGAACGAAAAGCCUCUGGUUAAUACCCGGAUCUAAUGACGGUACCUUAAGAAUAAGCACCGGCUAACUACGUG